rnacentral:rRNA from 1 species
UACGUAGGGUGCAAGCGUUGUCCGGAAUUAUUGGGCGUAAAGAGCUCGUAGGCGGUUUGUCGCGUCUGCUGUGAAAUCCCGAGGCUCAACCUCGGGCCUGCAGUGGGUACGGGCAGACUAGAGUGCGGUAGGGGAGAUUGGAAUUCCUGGUGUAGCGGUGGAAUGCGCAGAUAUCAGGAGGAACCCCAGAGGCGAAGGCGGCGCCCUGGCUCGCAACUGACGCUCAGACACGACAGCAUGGGGAGCGAACGGG